AACAAACGAAGAAGUCAUUACAUACAAUCGAAUAUACGGCGAGUUUCAAGGUCUUAAUUAUCGAGCCCUAAUAAAGCUCUUAUAGUACAUGGACUUACACGAUAUUCGAAGUUUACAAAAAUUGUGGACCAGUAACUAUAAGGCUACAGAAUAUAUGAUAAUUUUAUGGGAAUAUUUACAGUAGUUACAAAAAGUAUUUGUACACCGUUGUAUUUAUUAUAGUAUUUAUUUACUAAUCAAUUAAGUCCAAAUAUAUUAAGUUUCUUAUCAUUUGGUAGUACUUUCAUGUAACGACUAAAAACUUGAUACUAUGAAAAUGAAAUGUGGGAUCUAGUAAAAAAAAUGCUUCAUUGGAAAACACAGGUAUGUACAAAUAUCUUUCGUAGUUACUGUAGAUGUAACUUUUGACAGGCGAUUGAGAAUGAGUAUCUUGAGUACAUAUAAGAAUUAUUCUUUAGUGGUUAAAGAUGAUUUCGAGAGAAUAACUGUCGGUGAUUAAUAUCGAUACCCGAAUCGAUGAGAUCGGAUGUGGCUCGAGCCAAAUUCAGUUGGCUGGCCUUUGAGCAAAGCACUACGCGAAGAGUUGAAUGUUUAUGAGUGUUUGAAAGAAAUAUAAAGUAUGUGUGAGAAUGUUUUAUGAGAAAUGUUUUAUGAAAAUUGGUGGAACGAUAGAACUUUAAACAACUAUCGAUGAGUAUGUAUUUUUCUAAUUUUUUUUAUUGAUGAAACUCAUCACAUGAAAUAUUUCUUGUUGAAUGAAUAUUAAUCUUUUUAAACGUUACUCCUUGUUUAUUCUUUUUUCAUGAUGUCAAUGUAUAGCAAAAUAUUUGCAAUAUUAUUCAAUAGACGAUGCAGUACAAUGUGCACAAUCGAUAAUCGAUCUCGUUUAAUUACACGAUCGGCAUAUCGAAGUCAAUGGCCUCGAAACAAAGAACCGACAUAAAAGGAAGAUAACUAUUCGAUUGUUAUCCACCUCGAAUGAUACAAUAGAAAUUUCUUUGAUGCUUGUUUUAAUUCUAUUAUAGUUCAUUUCAAAUACUAAAAAUAAGAAAAAAGUAAAUAUUGAAAUAAUUAACAUUCGCAGAGUAUGUUAUUACGGAUAAAGACUAUUUUCCAAUUUAAUCAUAAUUUAAUUCAGAUCAGGGAUCAAUGAAAAUUUAUAUCUGGGAAUCAAAAGAGAAAAAGAGGUAAAGAAUGAUUAAUCUCGAACCAUUUAUAAACCAUAAGAGGUUCAGCAAAGUAACGCAAGAUCCUUCUACAGAGGACAAGGUCUGCUCUCGAUCUUAUGAAUCAUAGCGUUGCUAAAGCGUAUUCAGACCGUUCUUUCACCGUUCGUGCAAAAACGAGCAUUGAAGUUCAGUGAUCUGAAAAAUGAUUUCGACCAACUUCCGUGGAAUUUCGAAAUGACCGAACUAUAAUCAGAAACACGUUUAUGCAUUAUAUCUAUGUAUGCUUUCUAUGCUUAUUUGAUAUUUUAAUCAGACCCUUGUACAAGUGUAAAUGUAACGGUCUAUAAAUAACGGAUGCCAUAUUCUCACCUGAGCUUCUUCAGCCGAUUAUGACGUCGUGUUUGUCGUCCGUGACACAACACGCGUAUAAAAACACGUAAUCUACUUGUAACGUCUGCGUCCAUUUAAUUCUGCUAUCUCCCUGCACUUUCUAAAACCAUAAAAAUGACGUCACCUGUUAACAUCGUUCUCAAUCCCCUUACCUAAUCCUUCAAAGGGUUAUGAUGUAUUCCUGUUUAAAAAGAUCAGAUGAUUUGAAUGAAAGUUAAAUAUUUUUAAGACGAUUAAUUUCUUAAUUUGAAUUUUAAAUUAAAUUUUAAUUACACGUUUACGAUGACAGAAUUUUUAUUAAUAUAUUUUGCAUCAUUAUAAUUGGGUUUUAACUUUAUAGGAUUGCUGUUUUUCUGUAGGUAAAUACUCCAGAGUAAUUUGUUCACUUGGAGUGCAUUGGAAUUGUUCCAAGAUAUUUAUCCUUUUCAUAUUUUAAAUUCGAAAUUAGCCUAAAUUACUGUCAUUGAAAUUACUGUCGAUUUUGAUUCAGAGGAAUAUUCUUAAUUUUUAGGUUUGUUUGCUGAACUUUUGGUAUGCUUUGCUUGUGGACGGUCCGUUUCCGCGUUGUUCCUUGGAUUCCCCAGAAUAUAUAGAUCAUGAAGCGUUUCCGGAGAACGGUGGAACUCCGGGAGUGUCGCCUGGCCGUUACGAAAUCAGCUGUGCGCCUGUCGGUGCUUGUUGUAGGUCGCGUUCAGGACUCCCCUCGGCCUCCCUUCUGCUCUGUUCCUCUCAUUCCAUCUAACAGGAGGGUUAGAGGAGAGGGGAUAUUAAAGGUCGCCUCAACGUGGAGAUCAAUACGAAACCUACAUACCUACCUUCCCUAUCGGACCAAUGGGAAUGCCCAAAAUGAUCCCUUUCGUAUCUAUUAAUUAUCUUUUUAUGUUCAAGACAGUCAGUUUGAUAUAAUUGCCCAAUUUGCUUACUUUCUUAAACCUAAACAAAUAAUUAUUCUUCUAUAGUCUUAUCAAUUAAAUCCUUCCUCUCAAAUUGGACAAUUUAUUAUAAUUAUAUGUGUCCGAUACACAAUUAUAUGCAGUACUUCAUUAGAUUAUAGAUAUUUCUAAUGCAGCAAGUAAUGAGAAAACUUUUGAUUUUUGAUACAGGGAAAUCAUGGAAGAGGUAUUUAUUCAAAUACAUUUAUUUCUUAAGUACUCAACACGAUAAUCAGGCUUUGGGAGAUUUAGAGUGAUAUACAAUCUACACAAACAUCUUGUUUUUUUCUGAUAAAGCUAUACAAAGAAUAUUCCAGGAUUUUUAAUUUUUUUCUUUCAAUUAAUGAACACAUUUUUUCCGGAUUAACUCAUCCUUUUGUUAAAUCCUAUUAGAAGGUUUAAACAUCUAACAAGGUCAAAUUUAUAAUAGAGUUCAUAUUUUUUAAUUGGGAGUGUGUAAUAUACUCGAAAAGGUAACAUUUGUUUUCAUUUUCUAUCUAAAUUUUAAUUGCAGUUAAUAUGUGUAUCAAUCAUCUCUAGUAUGGACUUCUUGAAGAAUGGAAUUGAGCAACAGUUGAUGGUUAUAAUUAGACAAUACAUAUGUAUGUGUUUUUUUAAAUAAGUUUCACUUCUUCGACUUCACUUUCCACUCAGUUCACGUCGUCAAUGUCAGUUAGUGGUGGACAGCACGGAAACUUAUUACCUGUAAUCGAUAUGGCUGAAAAUCGAUCGGUUUCAAGGAACGAUUAUUGUGUUCGGGGAAGAGAUUCAAGGAUUUUCGAAGCAAGUAAAAAAGCAGCUAUAAAGCUAACUUGGCUUUAUAAUAAAAAGUAAUCAAAAUAGAAUAGAUUAGAUCAAGAUAUGGAACUAAAAAUUAUCAAAAGGAAAAAGCUGGAAGACCAGUAUAAAUAGAAGAACUUUAAGAUAAUUACUAUUGACCUUAAAUCGCAAACAGUGACCUUGAAAAAGAGACCUCCUUGAACCAAAUACUAUUUCUGUAUUCUAGCACAAUCGUCUUAUUGCAUUACACGAGUUAUAACUGAAUUUGAUACUCUGGUUUCGUUCCUCAUAUAUGCAAGGAUAUAAAUAUAAUACACAUACAUGUAUUUGAAAGAACGAGGAAUAUAAGAAGACGUGUAAUUCUUUUUUAAGGGAAAUCAGGUAUAUCGUAGGCUAAGCAAUGAGAAAAUUGUCAUUUGAAUCGCAUACGUAAGAACGUCGCGCUGCUUUAAAUACAAUACCAUUAUAACGACAUUAAUUCGCCGAUUUAACCGUCUCAAGAGGCAAGCGACUUUAUCGCGUGACUGGCACCGAGCACGGCAAAUAUUUGUCGUCCAGUUUCUUCAGUCAGCGUCACACCUAUCAGAAAGAUGGCCGUUUUUUGCAAAGAGCAGCAAACGAAAAACAAAAUUGUAAAUCCUUCGUGAUCCAUAAAUACGUAGUACGAAAAUGGUGUGCGAUGUUCGACCGUUGACUAAGGGCAGUUCUCAAUGUCAAUGUCUCAGCAACGAUCGAGCACCACUGACUGCUUCGUAAUUUCGACACGUUCGCCGGGAGCAAAUCACCGGUGACCACCGUUGAUGGCCACCUUGCUUGUUUGUUGCAUAAUAUUGGCCGACGAUUCUGCUACGCCAGAUAUACAUACAUACUUGCUUUCCGUGGAAAUGUUCGCUCGUGCCAAGAUUAUCUGCUGGCAUCUCGAGCAUGGAAAACAUCCCUGCCAGACCGCUUCCUUAUCGAUCUUUUGCCGCGCUUUUAUCGUUUUCGCUGAAUCAAUGCCAUUCGAUGGCUUACGUAGUUCCUCAUUUCGAAAAUAGUAAAACUGUCGUAUUUAGUGUAUGACGAGGACUUUAUUGGUGACUUGGUCUAUCUCUUUGGUUUUAAUUUUCAUCUGUAGGUGGAGGGGGUUCUAGUAAAGUGACACUGGCGUGCUAAUGAUGAGAAAACAAAUAGUUUCAGAUUUUACUUACUUCUUUACACGUAGAUCUUUUGUAUAUUUUGCAUGUUCCGAAAAUUUCGUGUAUUUUCUUUUUUUAUCUGAAUAUCUGAUAUUUACACAACUUAUCGAUGAAGCAAUUGAACUUGAAACCGAAAAUUUUAACGAAGCGAAGUCUUAUAAGUGAACGUGACGAUCGGCACGUAAGACUUUUUACGCCAUCGAAACAAUAAAGUAGUUACGUAUGAUAAAUAUGAGUAAUAAAUUCUGUUAAUGCAGUUUUAUCAGUUAUGUAAUUUAACAGACAUAAUUCCGAUCGAAAAAUUUUUUGAUUUCGUUCGUGGAAAUCAUUAAGUUUACUUACAUUGAAAAAAUUAUAAAGAUUAUGUAAAGCUAUUAUGAUAAGCUAUUUCCAAAAUUUUAAAAAAUUUUAAUGCGUAUAUAUAUAUUUCUUUAUUCUUCUUUAUUUUUUAAAUAGCUUUCCUUGAUUGUUAGGAAAGUAUGAUAAGAUUCUUUACUGUGAAAUCUGUCCGCGGCAACCCGGUGAACUCAUUCAGAUCAAUUGACGAGGCCGAGUUGAUAUGCUGCCAAUGAAAUUAGCCAGGAGGACAAUUAAGCGCAUCGUUGAACAAAUCCUAGACAAACUUGUCGCCAUUGAUGGACACAAACUAUUGCCUAUGACUAAAGGAAAUUCUACUUGGCUCCACAUCUUUCAUGGGCUUUCUUCUACAUUAAGCAAUAUGUCAAUAACAUAAUGAUUUCAAUUCUAUUGUUACAAUACAAUUAUUGGAGAAUUAUUGAACGUAUUUUGAUUGAAUUUUUAUGAGAAUAGAAAUCUAUAUUAAAGAAGGAAUAUGAAUCAUUAAAGUCAAAAUUACUGAAAUUCAUUCUAUGUUUCAGCUCAAGUCCACCACAACAUGAAUAGAAGACCGAUGUUGAGGAGGAAGGUACAAUCUUGUGCUCCAAUUAACUACAGAUUGUCAUCUACACCCUGUUGUUCAACACUGCAAUAAUAUUAUCAUCAAAGACUCAAUUGAAUCGUUUAAAGGAACACCUUACCAAUAAUACCCUGAUGAAAAAUUGCAAGUAAUCAGCUGCAUACGAUUCAUUAUUUUAAGAAGCUGCUAUCUCUUAUGCAAACUGCAAUUAUCUAGCGGUUCAGCAAGGCUUAAAUUUAGCGAGGAAUUUCGCUAAGUCGACGGGACGUAAAGGCUGGAGGGCCCUGCCGGUGCUGGGACCGAAAUACACGACGAUUAUACCGGCGACUCCUCGAAUUGUUUCUCUGCAUGUGGCUUUUUUCCCCUCACCGUUACAGAUACGCCUCUGCAAAUGUAAAUCUUCGUGGCCGUGGUACAGUCAGGCAUACAAUUCCAUCGUAAAGAUUCUCUGUAGUCUUAAGGACAUCUUCCGAGAGCAGUUUUCUGCUUGUGGUUUCCUCUGUGUAUUAUAUUAAAUUAACAGGAUAAUCACGUGUAACACGGAUACAUAUAUCAUAGAUAAAUAAUUAUAAAUAAUAUAGGUAAUUUCGAUUAAUUUUAAUUAAUAUGAAGAUUCUACUCAUAGCAUAAAUAAUAUGAAAAGUAGAAUAGUUACUGUUAAAGUAACUUUAGUUGAAUUAUUUUAAUUUUUGUAAUAGAGAGAUUCUUUCUUGGAUUAUAUACAUAUAAUAAAUGGAAUUAAUCAGUGAAAAUAUAAGUACAUUAAGUCCACUGUUACUCAACUUAAAUAAUUUUGACAUUAUGUGUGUCAUAAGUAAUUCACAUAUGUUUCUGUUUUGGACUUUAGAAACACAGGCGUUUGUCUAAUUCUGACUGGCUCAUUAUAUGUUUCCUGAGAAUCUGUGAAAUUUUAAGCACGGUGAGCAAACAAUAGAGUGAAAUCCAGUGGAUCAAUAAUUAUUUCAAAAUCAAUAUAUUAUUACAAUAAACCAUAAAUAACAUGUAAAUUCUUUAUCUAAAAGUUGCAGGUAAGAAUUACAAGCAAAUGAUGGAUAACACUGACUAAGCUAUUUACGUAUGAAUGGAACCAUCCGCAUAUAUAAUCUUUAACAUUUUAUACAUCUUUCAAUUACGUUAUCAAGAUGUAUAAUGAGUGUUCAACUUCUCAAAAAACAAGUUGCUUUCAUAAAUCCAUUUAUGGCAAGAUGAUAUAAAUGAUUAUAAAUUUCAAGGUAAAUUUUGAAAAAUAGCAUUCUCAGGAUCAAAGUUUCUCUGUAUAUUUUAAUUUAUAGAGUUGAUUAGUAUGAAUUUUGAAUUGCUAUAUUGAAGAAUCGAGAUUAUCAAAAAGCCCCAUAAACGAUGUAAGAGAAGCGAAGGAUGGAACGGACGGUCGCUGUAUUUUAGUAGUAAGCUGGCUGCAAUAGUUUAAGGCUUAAGGCAAGUCAUUUAUGUCGCAAGGGAUCUCGCGUCUUAAGACAUCGCUCCCUCACUGUAUAGUGACGCGAGUGGCCGUGAAAUCGGCUACGUCGGCCAUUCUAAAAUCGUGCCAGAAUUUCUUGCCAAAUUUAAUUGGAGCUCCGUCCUGUUUACCUGUGCGAACCCACGAUCUUGAGCGUUUAUCCAUCUUUCCUUCUCUCUCUUUUUUUUCUUUUCAUGCCUUUGCUGGCAAAUUUUCGAUACGAGACAAUCAGACGAAACAAUGACUCCUUGACAACAUGCCAAGGAACCUGAUAUUGCAGGGCUUAGCUCAGUUAUUUAGUUAUUUCUGCGAUUAACAUUUUCUUGCACAAUUGCAACGUUCUCGAGAAUCGUAAAAUUAAUCGUUUUAUUGUUUUGUUUGAAGAUCGACAAGACAUGACGAAUGGCUGGAGAGGAACAACGGAAUAUUUUGAUUUGGAGCCAUUUUAUAUCUAUUUUUCAGAUAGUUAGCGAUAUAGAUUGUAAGGACGUGCGUAUCUUUGUCGGUCCCGGAUCGAUGCUUGUUAAUUUUCACAGAUGUAGCCCACACCUGUGAAUUUUGGUCGCUUAUCGCUCCAGUUUUUAUCGUUUGAUAAGCUUCAAAUUUAGGCAAAUGUUUCCUGUCUCGUGAUAAAUCUUCAAGUAUUUUCUGUUUUUCUUUUCAUCGCGUUAUUUUAGAACUGUUGAAACAAUUUGUGAAAGUAUGAAACAAGGUGUUUAUAGAUGAAGAUAUUAUAAUGACAGAAACGCAAUUUCUGAGAAUGAAAAUAAUUUUAUAUGAACAAAUAUCCACUUGUCAAAUUAUUUUUUGAGAAGUAUUGGUAAUACCACUUUUCUCAUUUUAUUAUAAAACUCGAUAACUACUUUUAACUGUUUUAUGGAAAGAAGUAGGCACUCCUAGCUUUAUUUUCAAUUUUGUCUUAUGAGAGAUUAAACAGAGAGAAAUGAGAAAAUCAACACUCAUUGAUAUUUUUAUUAAAACACACCUAAUUCUAAAUUCUUUUGUAAUAAAGUGUAAUAAAGUGUAAUAAAGUUUUGUUUCUUACGUUAAAUUCUAAUAACAGUUUAAAAAUGAAAAAGCCUUUGUAAAACGAAGAAUAUGGAAGCUAUACUAUUUUUGUACUGGUUAGAGAGCUUAUAACAAGUUGAAGCGACUUCGAAAAAUCGUUAAAUCGUACACGUGCACCUACUUGUAUUACGUCAGUAGUUCACGUAAUAACUGCUAAACGAUAAUGAUUUGUUAGUUUACAGGCUGAUUGCAGCUUUUGUUACCAGGCGAAUUACUGGCAAAAUGAUGAUUUAAUAACAUCCAAAUGUAGAUUGAAUUUUUUUCAAAUAAACAUUUCAUAUAAAAUAAUGUAAAAUGCUUAAAAUCCGAACCCACUUUUUUGUUUAUAGAUAUAUUGCAAUUAUGAUAUUUAACAAACAGUUCAUCGUCGUUUAAAAUGCUAUUCUUACUUUAUAUAAAAUAUAUGCUAAAGAAAACUUUUUAAAGUCUCUAAAAAGUAUAUCACCAUAUGUAAUAGCGUUUAUCACUAAUACGCAAGAUAGGAGCUUCAGACUAUAUCUGUAAAUCAAAAAGAUACAAGAUAAGUGGCAUUAAAAAUCCGGAAGCUUAUUUUUCAAAGCUUUCGAACGCUUUGAAGGUUUACGUUACGCAAUCGUACAUCGCUCAAAAUAAUCAGAAACUACGGCUUAAAAUUUUAUUACACGUUAAAACAUUCCUGAUACUUGAGAGAAUCUUAUAUGUAUUAUCACUCCAAACAGCUGUAGACCACAUUAUUCGCCCGUAAAACAAAUUAAUUUUGUAAAAUUAACAACUUGUAUCUUUUAUGGUAUUUUUUAUGAAUACUUAUUAAAUUAAAACUUUCAAUUUAACCGAGAUUCCACCCAGUUACAAUAGCUUUAUACUCUAUUAAAAAUUUCUUUUAACUUUUACAGAACUAAAACAAAAUUAAUCUUCUCAAACAUGUUAACAAACAUUUUGACUGGAAUACUUCUCUUAUUCAGUUAAAGUAUUUGUUUUACUAUUGCAAAAAAGUCUUGUAAAUACUCAUAUCAUAUUCAUAAAAAAUAUUUUGUUUAAACUCAAUUAAACUAAAUUAUAUUCAUAAACACAAUUAAUUUAUCUCAACUCAAUUAUUUCCUCAAACAUAGCGAAUGACUACAUUUGUAAAAAUUUUAAAUAACAUGUAUAACAAUACUUAUUCAAAGAAAGUGAAUGUUCGUAUAUUACAUACAAAAAAUUGUUUUAUGUUAUAUUUAAAUUAAAUCUAUACGAAGCCAAAAUUCUCGUAAUAUUCCUCAGUUUGUAUCUCUCGUAUUUAUGAUUCGCAUAAUAAAUGCAGAUUUUAUCGUGGCCUUGCACGUUGCUCUUUCGGUGAAACGUGCCAAAUAAUGUUGUCAUGUGCGACCAGGGUUUUGCGGAAUCUCUGGUGUUUAUAAACGUUUAAUUAUCCGUGGCCAAGACUUUUCGGUGAGCAGCGGGCUUGCCUAUUACGAUACACGUCGUUUGAAGUGCCGGGAAAGCUAUGCGAUCUAUUUUCGAGCUUGAGGAUUCGCUGUUGUCGGGCGGACAC